ACGUUUUCUUAUAUUAUGGAACGGAGUGAGUACAUAUUCGCCUUUGUGUUUCUUCCAUCGUGCCCUCUAUAUGGUGACGAACCUGUUAAGAACAUGUUGGUGUAUCACUUGGUAUAAUUCAUUUAUAUAUAUGAAUGCCUAAAUUAGGGUGCCUGCUGUAUGGACUAUGGAUGUUAUUUCGCUCCAACACUUCUUUUAAAUUAGAUAUCCACCUAUCUUUCUUAUGUAUGUGUGACAUUUUUUUUAACAUAUUUGCUAGAUUAUGAAACGUUUUGCACAAGGAUUUACAUGCCUCCAGGGUCAAAGCUGGUGGCCAUCGUCAGAUUCUAUCCAUUAACUCACUGUCUUCGAUUUGCUUAUGGCAGCCUUUCACUGUCUAGCCAUCCAUGGGUGAUUGAAGGCUACAAAUAAUGAUGCCACAACACGGUAUGGAUGGUUCGAGUUCUCUCCUGGCAGCCUUUCCAUGUAUUAUCUACGUCUGCUUAUUCGACUGCUUACCAUCAAGUUAUAUUAAUUGUAUCAAUGUUUAAGUUUUACAAGUAUGCGAAAUGCGGGUCCCGUGUGGCAAGCAGCUUCCCUACUGAUAGUAGAUUUCAGAUAGUGUUUCUGAAUUGAUUACCAGUACGAAAGUCAGGAACCUCCUUAUGGUAUUGGUUAGGAAUAGUAGAUAUCUAAUUUUAUCUCUACGAGAAAUAGUGAAAAAAAACAGUAGCUGCCAUUUUUUGCUGAAAUUGUUGUCGACUGUAAUGAUAUAGGUAUCUGAACCAUAAUUCCUUAUGAAUAUUUCUCAUUGUAAACUUAAUAUACAUUUUGACGUGAAAUACCCUAUAUGUUUCUGUAGAUUUGAUUUUUCAACGAUGCAGUUGAUGUAUUGCCCCCAGUAGUCCAGUUUCCACAAUGAUAAGUACUUCGACACAUUUUCCAUCCACCUACGGCUGGUGUUUAUGUUGAAAUCACUUUUGGCUUGGUUCUGGAUAUGGGGAACUAUUAAUGUAGCAAUGGAUGCAAGAAUGGUCUAUUGAAGUUCAUUUUCACACCCUUGAAUAAUGGACAAGACAUGCUAACAAGUCUGGAAAAAGCAUUUGGGGAAUGAGAAAGAACUACUUCUCUUAAAUCUACAAAUGAGUGGUAUUUCCUUUUGGUAGUGCAAGUACCUGUUGUGGCCAUGUUUUCUUUGUGCUGCUGCGGACCAUGUCUCGAGAAUGUCCAUGAGCUGCUUAUGUAGAUGUUGCUUUUGCUGUUACUACCUUCUAUUGCUCUUCAUAGAACGUUCUUCUAUUUCUCUGAUUCUAUAUCAGCUUUGCUGCUAAGUUUGUAGUUGUAUGUGCUUUAUCCGAGUUUCAACCUAGCAACAUCAUUUUGUAAAGUGUAACAAAUGUAUUAUUCUAUUGAAAAUU